AUAUCUGUUUUACCUAAGCGCAGCCCUUGACCCCCUCUUUUUUCGCAUUUCCUACAUAAGGGUUCCCUGAGGGAUCUCCCUUUUUGGGUUGCUGCUCAAUUGAACUAGCGCAGACUCUUCCUCUGUUUUGUUUCACCUCUUAUUGUAUUCAAGCCUGAAGCUGUAGAUCUGCAUACUGUUUGUCUCAGGAAAAAAAACAAGCUGCCUGCUGACAUCAUCAGAAGUGGUAACCUGAUCCAAUCACAAUGCUUCCCCAUAGGAUUGGCUGAGACUGACAAAGAGGCAGAUUAGGGGCAGAGCCAGCACAAUUCAAACACAGCCCUGGCCAAUCAGUAUCUCCUCAUAGAGAUGAAUUGAAUCAAUGUAUCUCUAUGAGGAAAGUUCAGUGUCUGCAUGCAGAGGGAGGAGAUACUGAAUGUUUGGAUGCAUUUUAGGCAGCCAUGACCCAGGAAGGAUCUCUAGCAGCCAUCGGAGAAGUGGCCAGUGAAGUUAUCACUAGGCUGUAAUGUAAACACUGCAUUUUCUCUGAAUUAGAUUAGGGAGGCUGUGUAUUAGUUUAAGGUAGGGUGUGUAUUAGAUUGGGGAGCGUUGUAUAAGUUGGGGGGGCAGUGUAUUAGAUGGGAGGACAGUGCAUCAGUGGGGGGAUAGAGCAGUGUAUUGAAUUUGGGGGCAGUGUAUUAGAGUGGGUCUGCAUGGAGAUGCUGAUUGGCCACGCAGCGUUUUGACACACAUGCACAAUAGCUCAAUGCUUUCCUAUGGAAGAACACACUCUUAGAACGUCAACAUCAACAAGAUAACGUCAUUUGUUUUUUUACAGCUGUGCAACAGCAUACAUUCCCCAUUUCAGUCCCAUUACUAAGCUUUUCUUAAUAUAUCAAGGUAGUUGGACUGAAACAUUGGUUAUAUGCAAAUGCCUAAAUGUCUCCUAAAAAUAAAUUUACUCUUUUGUUCACUUUGAAGCCCUACGAGCGUGAGGACGUCCAGUGUCAGUUAGGCACUUUAUUUAUACGGUACUUUUCUAAAUAAACCAACGCUUCUAUGAACACUGAAGUUUUCAUUUUUUGCGGCCCACAUAAACUUAAGCCUUGUUUCUUUGGCCCGCGUUAGGCUUUGAGUUUGACGUGCUUGCAGUAGGCAGUUAUAUGCAGCACACUGCGAGUUAUUUAAAGGAGUACAGAUAACAGAUACAAUGUAACACUGUGUGGGUCCAGCGAUUACAUCAAAUUACUAUCCAAUAGAUCGCUAUAGUAAAGAAAUCCUUAAAGCUAUGUAGUGAAUGUAGACUAGCAGAUUGUUACAAAGCCUAUCAUGGCUGUGUCAGCGCUGAAGUGCCUUGAAGGUAAAAUCCUAAACCAGAAUACAAUCCGCGUCAUGAAAGAAAAAGGGGGCAAGUCACCGAAGUACUGGCUCGAAGGUAAAUCUAAACGUGAAUUAUUUUAAAAAGCUGCAGAUAACAAAAAGACUAGAUGGCUAGAAAGCCCCUAUGUCAGGUAAAAUACCUAGGCAACCAUGAAGCUAGUCUGUGCCUUGGAGGGCACCUGAACUGUCAUAACAAAAGGAGUCCAGCUAGCGAUCUAACAAAAUCUGAUUGUACCAAAAACAACUUGUAAAAUAAUUCACAAACCUGCAUCCACUGAAAGACAUAUCAGAUCACGAUCUGGGUCAGUAUAGUCUGAACAAGUUGAGAUCAGUUUAGAGCCUCGACAAAUAUUUCCGUCAUGUGUCCUUAACGUGUUAAGGAACUGAGGACGUUAGACUUACUAAGAAGAGACUACCUCCUUAUUAUCGCCAUCUAGUGGCAAAACAAAAAUAUUACAAAGUUUCUUGUGGACGUGAAAUAUUCUGAAAUAAGUAUAAUGGGAGUAAAACAGUCUUGUGAUUCCCAGAAAUAACCCAACACCACUCCCUGGGUAAUACAAUAUCUGUAGAGAGAAA
rnacentral:lncRNA from 1 species